rnacentral:rRNA from 1 species
GAUGAACGCUGGCGGCGUGCCUAAUACAUGCAAGUCGAGCGAACAGACUAGGGGUUUGCUCCUCUGACGUUAGCGGCGGACGGGUGAGUAACACGUGGGUAACCUACCUAUAAGACUGGGAUAACUUGGGGAAACCGGAGCUAAUCCCGGAUAAUAUAUUGAACCGCAUGGUUCAAUAGUGAAAUUCGGUGUUGCUGUCACUUACAGACUGACCCCCGCCGCAUUAGCUAGUUGGCAAGGUAACGGCUUACCAAGGCAACGAUGGGUAGGCGACCUGAGAGGGUGAUCGGCGGCACUGGAGCGGAGACAGCGACCUGGGGCCUACGGGAGGCAGCAGUCUGGAAUCUGCCGCAGUGGGGGAGAGCCUGGCGGAGCGGCGCCGCGUCAGUUACGGAGGUCUUGGGAGCGUAAUACUCUGUUAUUGGUGAAAAACAAAUGUGUAAGUAACUGUGCACGUCUUGACGGUACCUAGUCAGAAAGCCACGGCUAACUACGUG